rnacentral:rRNA from 1 species
AGCAGUCGCACGGUAAUACAGAGGGUGCGAGCGUUAAUCGGAUUUACUGGGCGUAAAGCGUGCGUAGGCGGCUUCUUAAGUCGGAUGUGAAAUCCCUGAGCUUAACUUAGGAAUUGCAUUCGAUACUGGGAAGCUAGAGUAUGGGAGAGGAUGGUAGAAUUCCAGGUGUAGCGGUGAAAUGCGUAGAGAUCUGGAGGAAUACCGAUGGCGAAGGCAGCCAUCUGGCCUAAUACUGACGCUGAGGUACGAAAGCAUGGGGAGCAAACAGGAUUAGAUACCCCCGUAGUCCCUGUCUCUUAUACA